UACCACGGAGGUUACCUGCUUACCAUCAAC
rnacentral:piRNA from 1 species